GCUGGGCAUGAUGGUGUGUGCCUGUAGUCCCAGCUACUUGGGGGCUGAGGCAGGAGGAUCGCUUGAGCCCGGGAGGUCAAGGCUACAGUGAGCUGUGUUCAUGCCACUAUACCCCAGCCUGGGCAACAAAGUGAGUCCCUGACUCAA
rnacentral:SRP_RNA from 1 species